rnacentral:misc_RNA from 1 species
GACGAGCCACACAAACGUUAUUCGGAAUUAUUGGGCGUAAAGGGCGCGUAGGCGGUCCAGUAAGUCAGGGGUGAAAUCCCUCGGCUCAACCGAGGAAUUGCCUCUGAAACUACUGGACUCGAGGCCGGGAGAGGGUGGUGGAAUUCCCAGUGUAGCGAUGAUAUGCGUAGAUAUUGGGAGGAACACCAGUGGCGAAGGCGGCCACCUGGACCGGUUCUGACGCUGAGGCGCGAAAGCGUGGGGAGCAAACAGG